UGUUGAAGGACCUCAGCCUCCUCAGAAAAUAGAGGCAGCUCUGGCCCUUCCUGUAAACAGCUUGCGUGUUCUUGGUCCAGUCCAGUUUAUUAUCCAAGUGAACUCCCAGGUACUUGUAAUCCUAAUAUUGUCCAGAUUAUAGGUAAAAUUGGAUUACCAAAUCUGAAUCCAAAUCUUCAGGAUCAGAAAUCUUAGGACCACCUUCGAAAUACCCAAUUUUCAGAUCAUCACUUGCAAAAAGGAACAAUAUUUAUCAAAGUUUCAGAUGCACUCACAUUAACAAAAGUUCGGUAGAAAGGAUGAAGCGACUAUAACAAAAUAUUCAUGUUUCAUGCAUCAGAUGAUUUAAGAUUGCAGUUGCCUUUAUGUUGUUUCCCCCUGGACCUGUUUGGAAGCACUUGUUUCCAACUGUAUCUGAUGUACAACUAGACAUGAAGCACUUCGCUGUGUCUUAACAUUAACAUGAGUAUGACCUCAACUUGUGCAGCUUGCUGUUACUCAGUCAGUCAGUCCAGACACUUUCUUUAAGCAUGAAAUAUCCUCACUUUCUUUUGGAUGAGAAGAUUAUACUUGAUGCUUGUACUAGAUGCACUGAUAUAUAUUUUCUAUAUCCUUGGACUGCUUUUGGAAAAUUACCAAGAUUAUAUUUUAUCAAAUAACCUGAAGAAUAACUAUCUCAUACUCCUUGACCUAAACGUUCACUUCAACAAACAUGCAUGUGGUCCGUUUUAGGGACAAGAAGAGAAACAAAAAAAAAAACCACCCCGCCUCUUUACAUUGAGAGCAGCCUUCCUGGUCAGAGUUGAUUACCGACUUCGCAGAGCUUCAGUCAUACACACAAUGAUGAACUUCACCUUGAUAACAGUUUUGAUUCUCUGCAGCCUCAGCUGGAUCUCUGUCUCAGCUUCUGAGUCUCAGACUGUGAAUGUCCAGCCUGGUGAAGAAGCCACACUGCUGUGCUCUAAGACGUCCGAAUCUGACUCUUUGGCAUUAUGGUUCAGAGUGGUCAACAGAACCAAGGCCAGCUCCAUUUCCACUAUGAUCAGCUCUACCAGCGAACCUCACCACUUUGAUGGAUUUCAAAAUGGAACAUUUGAAAUGGGAUCCAACACCUCCACUGUCUCUCUUAAAAUUAAGAGAGUGAAUUUUUCUGACUCUGGUCUAUAUUUCUGUGGAUUUUACACAGCGGGACGGACAAUUUUUAUUGGGAUACAUUUAAAUGUUGAAGGCAGUGAAGAAUCUCAUGAUGAUGUUGACAGAAAAUCUAAAAGAAACUUCAGAAAGCUGCCAGUGAAGAACAGAAUCCACAACAGCGUGAGAAUCUGGACUCUCAAGGUCUGAAGGACGCAGCACUGACUUUGUAUUCAACAGCAAUAAGAAGCAGGAGGCCUGCAUCAGAUAGGGAAGUGGAAACUCAUGCAAUUUACUCUGAG